GACGAACGCUGGCGGCGUGCUUAACACAUGCAAGUCGAACGGAAAGGCCCUGCUUUUGUGGGGUGCUCGAGUGGCGAACGGAUGAGUAACACGUGAGUAACCUGCCCUUGACUUUGGGAUAACUUCAGGAAGCUGGGGCUAAUACCGGAUAGGAGCUCCUGCUGCAUGGUGGGGGUUGGAAAGUUUCGGCGGUUGGGGAUGGACUCGCGGCUUAUCAGCUUGUUGGUGGGGUAGUGGCUUACCAAGGCUUUGACGGGUAGCCGGCCUGAGAGGGUGACCGGCCACAUUGGGACUGAGAUACGGCCCAGACGCCUACGGGAGGCAGCAGUGGGGAAUAUUGCACAAUGGGCGGAAGCCUGAUGCAGCAACGCCGCGUGCGGGAUGACGGCCUUCGGGUUGUAAACCGCUUUCGCCUGUGACGAAGCGUGAGUGACGGUAAUGGGUAAAGAAGCACCGGCUAACUACGUG
rnacentral:rRNA from 1 species